rnacentral:rRNA from 1 species
GACGGACGCUGGCGGCGUGCUUAACACAUGCCAGUCGAACGGAAAGGCCCUGCUUUUGUGGGGUGCUCGAGUGGCGAACGGGUGAGUAACACGUGAGUAACCUGCCCUUGACUUUGGGAUAACUUCAGGAAACUGGGGCUAAUACCGGAUAGGAGCUCCUGCUGCAUGGUGGGGGUUGGAAAGUUUCGGCGGUUGGGGAUGGACUCGCGGCUUAUCAGCUUGUUGGUGGGGUAGUGGCUUGCCAAGGCUUUGACGGGUAGCCGGCCUGAGAGGGUGACCGGCCACAUUGGGACUGAGAUACGGCCCAGACUCCUACGGGAGGCAGCAGUGGGGAAUAUUGCACAAUGGGCGGAAGCCUGAUGCAGCAACGCCGCGUGCGGGAUGACGGCCUUCGGGUUGUAAACCGCUUUCGCCUGUGACGAAGCGUGAGUGACGGUAAUGGGUAAAGAAGCACCGGCUAACUACGUG